rnacentral:rRNA from 1 species
GAUGAACGCUGGCGGCGUGCCUAAUACAUGCAAGUCGAGCGAACAGACGAGGAGCUUGCUCCUCUGACGUUAGCGGCGGACGGGUGAGUAACACGUGGAUAACCUACCUAUAAGACUGGGAUAACUUCGGGAAACCGGAGCUAAUACCGGAUAAUAUAUUGAACCGCAUGGUUCAAUAGUGAAAGACGGUUUUGCUGUCACUUAUAGAUGGAUCCGCGCCGCAUUAGCUAGUUGGUAAGGUAACGGCUUACCAAGGCGACGAUGCGUAGCCGACCUGAGAGGGUGAUCGGCCACACUGGAACUGAGACACGGUCCAGACUACUACGGGAGGCAGCAGUAGGGAAUCUUCCGCAAUGGGCGAAAGCCUGACGGAGCAACGCCGCGUGAGUGAUGAAGGUCUUCGGAUCGUAAAACUCUGUUAUGAGGGAAGAACAAAUGUGUAAGUAACUAUGCACGUCUUGACGGUACCUAAUCAGAAAGCCACGGCUAACUACGUG